rnacentral:rRNA from 1 species
AUGAACGCUAGCGACAGGCCUAACACAUGCAAGUCGAGGGCAGCACAUAAGGUAGCUAAUACUUUUGGUGGCGACCGGCGCACGGGUGAGUAACACGUAUGCAAUCUACUGUAAGCGGGAAUAACCCGGAGAAAUUCGGACUAAUACCGCAUAAUACCACGAAUUCGCAUGAAUUUGUGUGUUAAACAUUUAUGGCUUACAGAUGAGCAUGCGUAUGAUUAGAUAGUUGGUAGGGUAACGGCUUACCAUGGCUACGAUAGGUAGGGGUCCUGAGAGGGAGAUCCCCCACACUGGUACUGGGACACGGACCAGACUCCUACGGGAGGCAGCAGUGAGGAAUAUUGGACAAUGGGCGCAAGCCUGAUCCAGCCAUGCCGCGUGCAGGAUGACGGUCCUAUGGAUUGUAAACUGCUUUUAUACAGGAAGAAACACUCCGACGUGUCGGAGCUUGACGGUACUGUAAGAAUAAGGAUCGGCUAACUCCGUG